GGGCCAACACUCUUCCUUUGGCUUCACUUCCUUUUGUCCUUGGUAAAGGCUCAGCCCAAGUUGCCCCACCCCCGUGGCAGUGGGUCCCCUGCCUGGCCAGCCAACAGCUGAUCUCUGCAGAAGAACUCCCGGCCCCAUCCUUUGUCCAGGGAGGAAGUUCGGACUGCAGCCCAGAGCCUGACCCCAGCCUGCUGCUCGCCGUGAUCUUCU
rnacentral:lncRNA from 1 species